CCAUGAUGAAAAGCAAAGCCGGGACAAUACCGAAGUACAGAGAAACAAGCUAAGGUUUAGAAAAUUGAAAUGUCUGACCCUAAGUUUCUUCAAAUAUCUAGGGUCAGAGUUCUCUCUUGCACCUGUCAUUACAAAUAUUAUCAACUGCCACAAAUUUGUUUCAUAUUAUUCACCAGCAGUUAAUAUCUGGUAAUGUUUCAUUGUUACUGGACCUCAGAAACUUUUAUGAUGUAGCCUGGACUGUGUUUAAAUGUAAAAAUUGAAAAAUAUUGAGAGGUGAAGCCAGCUGGACUUCCUGGGUCCAGUGGGGACUUGGAGAAGUUUUCUGACUUACAAGAGGGUUGUAAAAUGCACCAGUCAGCACUCUGUAGCUAGGAUUGUAAAACGCACCAAUCAGCGCUCUGUGGCUAGUUAGAGGUUUGUAAAAUGGAUGAAUCAGUGCUGUGUAAAAUGGACCAAUCAGCACUCUGUAAAAUGGACCAAUCAGCAGGAUGUGGGCAGGGACAAAUAAGGGAAUAAAAGCUGGACACCCCAGCCAGCAGGGGCAACCUGCGGGUCUCCUUCCACGCUGUGGAAGAUUUGUUCUUUUGCUCUUCACAAUAAAUCUUGCUGCUGCUCAUUCUUUGGGUCCACAACACCUUUAAGAGCUGUAACGCUCACUGCGAAGGUCUGCAACUUCCUUCUUGAAGUAAGAGAGACCACAAAACCACCGGAAAGAAGAAACUCCGGACACACCAUCCUUAAGAGCUGUAACACUCACAGUGAAGAUCACCGGCUUCAUUCUUGAAGUCAGCACGACCACGAACCCACCGGAAGGAAGAAACUCUGGACACAAUAUCAUAUAUAUGGAACAGGCAAGAAGCAGUUAAGCCAUGUGCUGAGUGAUUCUGGGAGAACCAAUAAUAACUACAGAAACAAAAUGGUUGUGGUCUGGGUGGACUGAGAAAGGAAAACUCACUUUUUCAUAUUAAGGUGAGCACCUUAAACAAUCUUCAGAAACACAAGGGAGACUCCAAUGCCAAAUAAAGGCUAUAAAUCUAAAUCAUUUGACAUAAUAAAGAUGAGAUGGAGCAAGUGACUAAGCAGAGGAGAUGAAAAAUGAGUCUCGCUCUGUUGUCCAGGCUGGAGUGCAGUGGCAUGAUCUCUGCUCACUGCAACCUCUACCUCCCAGGUUCAAGCAAUUCUCUGCCUCAGCCUCCCGAGUAGCUGCCUUACAGGCACCUGCCACCACGCCCAGGUAAUUUUUUGUAUUUUUAGUAGAGAUGGGAUUUCACCAUUUUGGCCAGGCUGGUCUUGAACUCCUGACCUUGUGAUCCAGCUGCCUCAGCCUCCCAAAGUGCUGGGAUUACAGGAGUGAGCCACCUUGCCCAGCCCUUGUCCCAAUUUUUAAUUGGAUUAUUUGUUUGUUUUCUGUUGAGUUAUUUGAACUUCUUAUAUUUUCCUAAUAUAUUGUUGUUAGAUGAACAGUUUGCAAAUAGUUUGCACAUUCUUUAGGUUGCUCUUCACUUCAUUGUUUCCUUAAAAAGCAGAAGCUUUUUAACUUAAUGUAAUCACAUUUGUCUAUUUUUGUUUUUGUUGCCUGUGCUUUUGAGGUCUUACCCAAAUCAUCUUUGCUCAGAUCAAUGUCCUAAAACGUUUCCCCAAUGUUUUCUUUUAUGUCUUAUAUUUAUCUUUCAUGUCUUAUAUUUAAGUCUUUAAUCCAUUUUGGGUUGGUUUUUUGCACGUGGUGAAAGAUGGGGAUAUAGUUUCAUUCUUCUUCAUGUGGAUAUCCAGUCUUCCCAGCACCAUUUAUUAAACAUGCUGUUCCUUGGUGGCUUGUCAAAGAUAAGUUGACUCUAAGUGGAUGGAUUUAUUUCUUGAUUCUCUAUUCUGUUCCAUUGGUCAAUAUGUCUAUUUUUAUGCAAAUACCAGUCUGAUUUGAAUACUAUAGCUUUGUAGUAAAAUUUGAAAUCAAGUAGUAUGAUCCCUCCAGCUAUAUUCUUUUUGUUUGAGAUUAACUAUUAAAGGACUUUUGUGUCUCUGUACAAAUAUUAGGGUUUUUUUUCUGUGAAGAAAAUCAUUGAAAUUUUGAUGGGGAUUACACUGAAUCUGUAGAUCUGUUUGAGUAGUAUAGAAAUUUUAACAAGUUAAUUCUUUUAAUCCAUGAGCAUGGGAUAUCUUUUUAUUUUUUGUGUAUGCUCUUCAAUUUCUUUCCUCAGUGUUUUAUAGCUUUCCUUGCAGAGAUCUUUCACAUUUUGGUUAAAUUUAUUCCAAAGUUUUCUGUUUGUUUGUUUUUUGUUUUUUGUAGGUGUUGUAAAUGGGAUUGCUUUCUUAAUUUCUUUUGCAGAUUGAUCACUGUUAACAUGUGAAUGAUACUGAGUUUGUAUGUUGAUUUUGUAUCCUGCAACUUUAUUAAAUUAAUUUAUUAAUUCUGAGUAUUUUGGUGGAGUAUUUAGGUUUUUCUAACUAUAGGAGCAUGUUGUUUGCAAGCAACGAUAAUUUGACUUCUUUAAUUUGAAUUCGUAUGGCUUUUAUUUAUUUAUCUUGCCAGAUUGCUCUGGCUAGGAUUUCCAGUACUAUUUUGAAUAGAAGUGGUGAAAGUUUCAAAUCUUAGUUGAAAAGCUUUCAAUUUUUUUGACAUGGAUUUUCGCUCUUGUUGCCCAGGCUGGAGUGCAAUGGCGCCAUCUCGGCUCACCGCAAACUCCCCCUCCCAGGUUCAAUCGAUUCUCCUGCCUCAGCCUCCCGAGUAGCUGGGAUUACAGACAUGUUCGGCCAUGCCUGGCUA
rnacentral:lncRNA from 1 species